rnacentral:misc_RNA from 1 species
AAAGUUGAUGAAAUAACGAUCAUUGCCAAUCUGCUGUUUGUGUCCGAAGCAAGAGGAGUUUUUAAGGGCCUUAAAACGCUCAGAAAACGAAGGUGAAGCCAAACGUCAAACCGGCCAAGGUCAGACCACUUAGACAGUCAUGCAGCAGAUAUAUUCUAAUCAGCCACAGACAGUGUCUGGAGCACAGUCUCCAAUGAGAUAACAAGGCUAUGUCCCCACUGGACAACAAGGCCAUUUCCCUACUGGAAAAUAAGGCUAUGCCCCUAAUGAACAACCUGUCCAAUCCGUUCCAGGCCCUGGUGUCCCUAUACAGCCUCCAGUGAACCAACCUAGGGCAGGACGGAUCGACAAAACCUACCUGAAAACUGCACU